GGCGUCCGGGUGAGUAACACGUAGCUGACCUGCCCUUCGCUGGGGGAUAACGUUCCGAAAGGAAUGCUAAUACCGCGUACGCACGUGGGGUUUAGAAGCCCACGCGGAAAGCCUUAGGGCGGCGAAGGAGGGGGCUGCGCUCCAUCAGCUAGUUGGUGAGGUGAAGGCUCACCAAGGCGACGACGGAUAGGGGACCUGAGAGGGUGACCCCCCACACUGGGACUGACAUACGGCCCAGACUCCUACGGGAGGCAGCAGUAAGGAAUAUUGCGCAAUGGACGCAAGUCUGACGCAGCAACGCCGCGUGCGGGAUGAAGGUCUUCGGAUCGUAAACCGCUUUUGUGAGGGAAGAGACAGGACGGUACCUCACGAAUAAGUCUCGGCUAACUACGUGCCAGCAGCCGCGGUAAAACGUAGGAGGCAAGCGUUAUCCGGAUUUACUGGGCGUAAAGCGCGUGCAGGCGGUUUCCUCAGUCGUGCGUGAAAGCUCCCUGGCUUAACCGGGAGAGGUCGUGCGAUACUGGGAAGCUAGAGACAGAGAGAGGCAAGUAGAAUUCC
rnacentral:rRNA from 1 species